rnacentral:misc_RNA from 1 species
UCUCCGUAGGUGAACCUGCGGAGGGAUCAUUACAAGUGACCCCGGUCUUACCACCGGGAUGUUCAUAACCCUUUGUUGUCCGACUCUGCUGCCUCCGGGGCGACCCUGCCUCCGGGCGGGGGCUCCGGGUGGACACUUCAAACUCUUGCGUAACUUUGCAGUCUGAGUAAACUUAAUUAAUAAAUUAAAACUUUUAACAACGGAUCUCUUGGUUCUG